ensembl:snRNA U6 U6 spliceosomal RNA
GUACCCUCUUUGGCAGCACAUAUACUAAAAACUGAAACAACACAGAGAGUAGCAUACUGCACAAGGAUGACAUGAAAAUUUGUAAAGCAUUUCAAUUUUUU